CAAAUCAUAUAUAUAAUAUUAUUUUGGGACUGAAUGGAGACUAUGGGAUUGUUGUAUUGUGAUUAUUUAACAUGCAUUACUAUGGUUUUUAAGGUGCUAUAAUUUUGAUUUUGGUCUCAAUUGCAUAUUACAUCAUUGAUUAUUUGUUUAAGAUAGAAAAUAAAAAAUGAUUAAAAAAUUGCAGUUUUGGAAUUCGGAUAUUCUAAGUUCAUAUAAAUUUGCAUAUCUAAAUUAUGUUGAAGAAAUGAACAAAUCCCUUUAGGUUAUUUAUCAUCUGAAAGGGAAUUUCAAUGAUCAAUCCAAAUAUUUUUUUCCAGUUUGUACUGAGCUAAUUUUCUUCUGUUAAGUUUGAUUCACUGUAAUAAGUCCAACAAUUGGAAUCAACCAUCAAAAUGUCCUAUCCUAGUAAUGAUUUAUUUCACCACAAACAUAUUAGUAUAUAUUCAUUUGAUAAUUUAUACUGAAAGUAAUCUCAAUGCAAAUAUUUGUGCGACUUUAUCUAGUCUUAAUUUGUGACUCUCUAAUCGGAUUAUUUAUUUUCUCAUUCAAUAUCUAACAGCUUAAAUAGUUGAGGUAUAUAUACUGGAGCAACUCAAGUGCAUGUGUGACUUUUUGAGAAGAAACUACACAAGGCUGUUGGUUAGUAAUCACCAUGUAAAAGGGUUUGCAGAAACCAGACAGAGAGCCUGUGUGGAGAUGAUAUUGGCUGCCUAGGUCUGACUGCCUCCAACCUGAGGCGGUCUUGGAGUGAUCUAACAAAAGAGUGAAUGAUUAAACUAGAAAAUAGACAAAGACUGGUGGACAGUUUGGUAAAGUGAAGCCAAAGAUGGAGAUUGUGCUGGCAGCCAUGAGAGACAAGGCCAAGCAUUGGGUCCAUGGCCAGGAGACAGAGACUGGGGCAUCUGAGCAACUGCUUUCACAUAAGGCAGCCUGCUUCUGGACAUGGGGAAGCCAGAGGAGGAAAAGGAGGUUGAGGCGGAGCCUCAAGCUGUUCCCGGGGCACCAUUGACAUCCAGGGUAGAUUGGGUCUAGUUGAUUGUGUAGGACGCCAAGAUGACACCCAGCAUAGGAGAAGAGAAGGUGCUCUUCUUGUUAUGACCAGCACACCAAUUACCAGGAGCAUGGAUCUGCAGCAAAUUCAGCAGGAAACGCUCAGAAUGCAGCAAGCUAUGCUGCAAACAUUUAAAAUCAUCCAUGUUGAUUUUUGUAAUUAUCCACAAUUGUUUGCAGCAGUUUGUUAAUGGAAAUCAGUAGUAACAUUGAACAAUGCAACUUCCUCUCCAUUUUUUUAAAACUGGAAACCUGUUGAAUAUUGUUUUUAGAAAAUGAAGUAAAUCACCUUGAACUUUGGAAAUUUCCAAAAGCAUAUAUUUUAGCAAGUAAUAUGAAAAUGAGUUAUACCAUGGUCACAUUUGGUGGCCUUACGGCAAGUCGAAAUCAGUCGUUUUAUGUAUUACUAUACGAACCACCUACAUGAAGCCGGUACAAGGAUGAGUAAAAUGGUUGAUUUCGACUCGCCAUAAUGCCACCGGCUGGCGAAUGUGACCUAGGCAUAAGUUGUUGAUGUCAUUGCCUCAUAAUUUUGAACAAAAAGUGACAAAGACUACAUUCUUCAGGAUUGAGAAAGUUAAACUUGAACUUUAUUCUCAUCUCAGUAGAUAGAAGAUAAUGUUAUUCAUUCAAUACUGCGUUAGAAUUUGAACAAAUGCCUUGCAAUGCAACAUUUAGGCUCUGAAAUCUUGAUGGGAAUUCCUGUGCAAGAACAGUUUUAAAGUUUAUUUAUACAUGUUCAUAUUGCAAGUCUGUUAUAUGAUCUGUCAGCAUUGUUUGUGGAUCUCACACUGGUGUCAUUAGCCAUAGUUCCAAUCUUAAGCCAUCUGCAAAACGUUUUCCAAUGGUACUGUUAUGUUAAUUUAAAAGAAAAGGGACCUUGUCAACAUUCAAUCACAUCUUUCAAUACGCAUAUAAGGGUAUGGGAUACUGUUAGCAUUGAAAUUAAAAUAUGACUUGAUAAAAUUAUUUUCAAUUAAAUUAAAAGUAUUAUAAUGGUUCAUAACAAGUUCUUUUGACUGUCACUCUGACUGUUCUUAAUAAGUGAUUGCGAAUAAAAUUAUUUUAAAUGUAUAA